rnacentral:tRNA from 1 species
GCCCGGUUAGCUCAGUCGGUAGAGCAUGAGACUCUUAAUCUCAGGGUCGUGGGUUUCGAGCCCCACAUUGGGCG